AGUAUCACCUCAAAUGCUUAUUUACAAUGUAAGUUUCUGUGGCCUGACCUCAAACUUGACAAAUGGCAUCAGAACUUUGGGAUUGGGGUGGACAUCAUCUAGGGAAUAUGAAUAUUCCCAUUUUUAUGAUAAUUUUUUAGAACCUAGUAUUUAAUACAAUUUUUUACUUCAUAAGAAUAAUGACACAAAAUCAAAAUGUAUCUUUCUUUCCUAAUUCCAUUUUAAUGAACUGUUCUCACCAUAUGACACACCUAUUUGCUUUUCACUCAUUAGAUACACAGACGUUGUUUUUAACUUCCCUGUAAUAUGCUGACCUAAUUACAUUCUCUUUGGCUCUUCUCCCACAUCCUCUGAUGUUUUCCCCUCAGAAUACAAACACAGUAAAAUCCCACCAGUUCCGAACCUCCAAGGUCUCUACAAUUUUACAAAGGACUAGAUCAUUAAAUCAGACUUUCAUGUAUCAGAAAUCUUAUCCAAUGUCAAGCGUUAGCAAAAUUUCAGAUACAGGAAAUUAAGAGCCACAGGUGAUGCAGCAAGUAGUCCAGGAUUCCUAAUACAUCUGCCAAGUCCUGCUUCUCUGCAUCAGAUGAGGUUUCUAAGUGAUGAGGGCUUACUUCACUUACAUGGAAGGAACUAACUCAGUUAUGAAAAUCUCCAUUUUAUAUUCAGAAAGUUAUAUAGCUUAUCUGACAUUUUCCUGGGAGAUAAUAUCCCCAAAAUCUAAAAAGUCAUGUUUGUUUAACAUAAGCAGUCACUCAAUGGGAAUCCUGCUAAAAACACUCUCUAAUUUCAAUUUUCCCAAUAACAAAAAUAAUUUAGUUUCCAAGUAAUUGUUUAUGAGAAUGUUUAUAAAAAUAUUAUACUGGGUCACCUGUCCUCUUUGAUUACAGGAGUGUGCCCUCCAUUCAUCACAGAAGAAAACUGUUAUCUGGCCAGGUGCUUCCUUCUUUCCCUUUUAGUUUUAUUCUCCAAAUUUGAUUAUAUUAUUUAUUAAAAUACCUUGGCCUCUCCCCUUUUCUAUCAACUGAAGUCUUAAAAUAUUUAAGAACAACUAUAGCUUACUAUUAUAUUGAUUUUUUUUUAAUCAAAAAGUGAGGAUUUACUACUGUAUUUUACAAUAUUCUCUCAAAGCAAGCAAACCUUUUUUUUUUUCCUUGGAAUUUACACCAAGACCUGAAAAAAUCCAAGGGAACAAAUUUGUUUUUUUUUACUUUAGGGACACCAUUGAGCUUCAAACAGUCUGUGUUUCCAUUCUUGCUAUACUUUCCACACCUAGACAAGUAUUCUGUGUAUCUGUGUAACGACCCCAAGUUGGCCUUACAUUACCUUCGAACUUUCUCUAUAUUUUUUCAUACCCUAAUAGAAUUUAUUUUUGAUACUUGUUUAUGUUUCUCACUCUUUUCUGGGCCUCCAAGAACUAAAAUCAGUCCUUGACCAGCAGCUUGCAAGAAACCAGGCACCUAAACCACACGGCCAACAGGGAAACUCUGCCAACAAGUGAGCAUGGAAGAGAACCUCAGACUUCAGGUGAUACCGCAGUUCUGACUCACACCUUUAUUUCAGUCUGAGGGAGGAGGCUGACAUCUGGGUCUUAGUUGGCACAUCAGAAGGAUGGAAUUCAGGAAUAACUGUCCCCUUUCCAUAUAAGGCACGGACCUUGGGGUCUGAUCCUCAUUGUCACCUUUUGGAAAAUGAGUAUGAUUGUCUCCAUGAUCCACAUCUAAGAGGCUACGUGCCAUAGAUGCAAAGAUAUCCUGGGAAGUUUUAAAGAAAGGUGGAUACAUCACCAGCGAAAAUAAAGAGAGUUGAAGAUCACUUCUCUUUAAUCAUUGAAAGUCUCCAUAUAUUUCUGGGGUAUAAAAGGGGUAUCACCUUUACCUCAGUCAGGGGAAAUGGUUAAUGGGAAAUUCCAUUAAUUGCUUAGUGUAUGGGUCAAGGGAAAUCAGGUAAAACAGUUCAUAAAUUAAACCUUUUCCCUUCACCUUUUUUCUUUGUA